UGGGGAAUAUUGGACAAUGGGGGGAACCCUGAUCCAGCCAUGCCGCGUGUGUGAAGAAGGCCUUAUGGUUGUAAAGCACUUUAAGCGAGGAGGAGGGUACUGGUAUUAAUACUACCAGCUACUGGACGUUACUCGCAGAAUAAGCACCGGCUAACUCUGUGCCAGCAGCCGCGGUAAUACAGAGGGUGCAAGCGUUAAUCGGAAUUACUGGGCGUAAAGCGCGCGUAGGUGGUUCGUUAAGUUGAAUGUGAAAGCCCCGGGCUCAACCUGGGAACUGCAUCCAAAACUGGCGGGCUAGAGUAGGGCAGAGGGUGGUGGAAUUUCCUGUGUAGCGGUGAAAUGCGUAGAUAUAGGAAGGAACACCAGUGGCGAAGGCGACCACCUGGGCUCAUACUGACACUGAGGUGCGAAAGCGUGGGGAGCAAACAGG
rnacentral:rRNA from 1 species